rnacentral:misc_RNA from 1 species
CAGCAGCGAACCAUGGCGUGAUAAGGUUGUCUCUACACACGAGGAGUAUUACAUUCGUAACACUUGGCGCCGAAUCGUACAAUUGUAAUCUUUGAUCUCGAUGUAUAUUACAAAAGAAUUGUUCGUGCACGUGUGUCGGGUUAAAGUCGAAUUAUAACCGAUUUCUUACCUUAUUUGGAUAUCGAUCGUAGUUUCUUCGACCACGCUGAGACGGGCGUUAGUCUCUCGCAUACAUUUGUUUAACAAUACGUGUAAACUCGAGUAUAAACUCGAGGAUUAACCAGUUUUAUGGAAGAGGAAGAAGAAACGAAGAAGAAGAAGAAGAAGGUGGAAAGUGAAGAUGGGAGGAAAAACGAUGAAGAGGUUAGAGAAAAUGAAAGUCAAAAUGGCGAUAAAGAGGAUGAGGAAAACGGCGGGAAAAAUGAGAGCAACAACGACACGUACGAGGAUGACUCAGCGUUCGCCUUAGAGGGUAUGGAAUAUACGCAAACAGGAAGGAAGACCAGUAUUUUCAAGUACUAUGCUUUUAAGGAGAAAGAAACAAUGCCGAGUACUUCAAAAAAACAACAGGGUCCACUGAUCGGUGUGAUAGACGUUGGUACACGGACAGUAAGAUUUGUGGUUUUCAAUGCGAAGCAUAUAACGGAAGUAGCUUCUCAUCAGAUCGAUAUUGAGCAAUUGAGUCCAAUGGAAGGUUGGCUUGAAGAGGAUCCGAAGGAAAUACUUUUUGCUGUUAAGGCAUGCAUUAAAGAUGUCAUAAAAAGGUUUGAAUCACUCAAUCUCAAGGUGGAAGACAUCAUCACGAUCGGUGUAACAAAUCAGAGAGAAACAACUAUAGCGUGGGAUAGCAUAACCGGUGAACCGUUCUACAAUGCUAUAGUGUGGACUGAUAUCAGAACCGCUUCGACGGUCGAUCAAAUCAUUGCCAAGUUCCCAGACAAAAGUAAAAACCAUCUGAAACCACUUUGCGGUUUACCGGUCAGUCCAUUUUUUUCUGCUUUGAAAAUCCGAUGGUUGAGAGAUAACGUACCGGUUGUUAGAAAAGCAAUGCGCGAUAGACGCUGCAAAGUUGGUACGAUGGACACUUGGAUUAUUUGGAACUUAACCGGUGGUAAAGAUGGCGGACUGUACAUAACGGAUGUAACAAAUGCUUCAAGAACGAUGUUGAUGAAUAUCGAAACACUUUCGUGGGAUCCCACGUUAUGUAGAUACUUUGAUAUUUCAAUGCAAAUGUUACCCGAAAUUAAAAGCAGCUCGGAAAUUUAUGGUAAAAUGACAAUCGGUCCUUUAGCGGGUAUUCCCAUAUCGGGCAUACUUGGUAAUCAACAAUCGGCAUUGGUCGGACAAAAUUGUUUGAAAAAAGGCCAAACUAAGAACACUUACAGAAGUGGAUGUUUCUUACUCUGUAAUACAGGAACUACGAGAGUUUAUUCUUCUCACGGUUUAGUCACUACUGUUGCAUAUCAAUUAGGUCCAAACAGUCCUGCUGUUUAUGCGUUGGAAGGUUCGGUUGCGGUAGCUGGGGCUGCUAUUAGAUGGUUAAGGGACAAUCUGAAACUUAUCAAAGAUGUUCACGAAAGUGAACAUUUAGCACAAAGAGUAUUUAGUACAGGCGAUGUUUAUUUCGUACCUGCUUUCACUGGACUUUAUGCUCCUUAUUGGAGAAAAGAUGCUAGAGGAAUACUUUGUGGUCUCACUGCCUUUACUACGAAGCAACACAUAAUAAGAGCAUGUCUCGAGGCAGUAUGCUUUCAAACGAGAGAUAUUUUAGAAGCGAUGUAUAAAGAUUGUGGUUUUCCAUUAAAAAGAUUGAAUACUGAUGGUAAAAUGUCGACAAAUAAUCUCCUCAUGCAAUUACAAGCAGACCUUUGCGGUAUACCAGUUUUUAGAUCCACUAUACCGGAUAUGACUGCAUUGGGUGUAGCAAUGGCUGCCGGUCACGCGGAAGGUAUAAAUGCAUGGGAAUUUGAAAAUGAAGAAAUUGAAAGAGUUGCGACUGAUACAUUUUUACCCACUACAACACCCGAGGGUAAAUUCAUAUCUUUAUUCCAAUUAGAACGUUCCUUUUACAUUAAUAAAAUUAUUUUCACAUUUUUUUUCUAUAUUUUAGAGAGAGAUGCUAGAUAUAAAAAAUGGAAAAUGGCAGUAGAAAGAAGUUUGGGUUGGGCAGCGGUUAAGAAGUCUGACCAAAUGACAGAUGAAAGAUAUUGCGUGUUAGCCUCAAUACCUGCCAGCUGGUUCUUAAUGUCGAGCUUUAUCCUUCUAAGGUUUAGCCAAUAUUUAGAAAAUCGGUGACACAACCGAUACGUCACUGAAGUGAUUCACGAGAUAGAUGGCAGAUAGCCUAAUCAUAAUUUUGAACAACAUUUAGGGAAGAUGACCGAGAGAGUUCGGUUAUCAAUUAUAGAAAAGCAGUCAUAUUGCCGUAUAUUUGUUAAACAAAAGCUGUUAAUAAACGUGGAGAUACGAUUAGUACAGAAAUGGAAAUCCAGAGAAAAGAAA